CAUGUUUUUCCUGUUCAUCUUC
rnacentral:miRNA from 1 species